rnacentral:rRNA from 1 species
GGGUGUGAUCAAAACAAAACUAAUGCACUAGAUUUCAUCAGAAUUCUAAAGUUAAAUGUAUUUAAACGAAAAAAAUAAUAGGAUAGAUGAUCUCUUGGAAAGUCUUCGUAUUGUACCCA